rnacentral:rRNA from 1 species
CACGUAGGGGGCAAGCGUUGUCCGGAUUUAUUGGGCGUAAAGAGCUCGUAGGUGGUUCGGUAAGUCGGGUGUUAAACCCCCAGGCUCAACCUGGGGACGCCACUCGAUACUGCUGUGACUAGAGUCCGGUAGGGGAGCGUGGAAUUCCUGGUGUAGCGGUGAAAUGCGCAGAUAUCAGGAGGAACACCGGCGGCGAAGGCGGCGCUCUGGGCCGGUACUGACACUGAGGAGCGAAAGCGUGGGUAGCAAACAGG